CAUGUCCUUUCUGUCAUACACGGUGGAUAGCUGCCCACUGUUGUAGCUCCGCGUUAUAGCACCACCAAACAACUCAGUUAUUUUUUCCACAUCCAGCUGUAACUCCGAUUCUGUGCGAGCAUUUGCGAGAGACCGGGGAGGUGAAACGACAGAGAGAGUCCCCUCGCUAUCCAUUUGCAGCCAAGUGCGGCAGCUAGCUAGGUAGCCGGCUAGCUGUCAGGCAGGACCAACGUAGUCAGAGCACUGUCGCUAAAUAUGGGAUGUCUUGAUAAAACAAGCAGAUAUUUGAAGUUUACACACCUACAUUCUCGCCUGAAAAUAUCUUAAAAGCUUAUUUUGUGACCUAGAAACACGAAUAAAAGACAUAUAAAACGAAGUG
ensembl:lncRNA